rnacentral:rRNA from 1 species
AGAGUUUGAUCAUGGCUCAGAUUGAACGCUGGCGGCAUGCCUUACACAUGCAAGUCGAACGGCAGCAUGAUCUAGCUUGCUAGAUUGAUGGCGAGUGGCGAACGGGUGAGUAAUACAUCGGAACGUGCCCUGUAGUGGGGGAUAACUAGUCGAAAGAUUAGCUAAUACCGCAUACGACCUGAGGGUGAAAGUGGGGGACCGCAAGGCCUCAUGCUAUAGGAGCGGCCGAUGUCUGAUUAGCUAGUUGGUGAGGUAAAGGCUCACCAAGGCGACGAUCAGUAGCUGGUCUGAGAGGACGAUCAGCCACACUGGGACUGAGACACGGCCCAGACUCCUACGGGAGGCAGCAGUGGGGAAUUUUGGACAAUGGGCGAAAGCCUGAUCCAGCAAUGGCCGCGUGUGUGAAGAAGGCCUUCGGGUUGUAAAGCACUUUUGUCCGGAAAGAAAUGGCUCUGGUUAAUACCUGGGGUCGAUGACGGUACCGGAAGAAUAAGGACCGGCUAACUACGUGCCAGCAGCCGCGGUAAUACGUAGGGUCCAAGCGUUAAUCGGAAUUACUGGGCGUAAAGCGUGCGCAGGCGGUUGUGCAAGACCGAUGUGAAAUCCCCGAGCUUAACUUGGGAAUUGCAUUGGUGACUGCACGGCUAGAGUGUGUCAGAGGGGGGUAGAAUUCCACGUGUAGCAGUGAAAUGCGUAGAGAUGUGGAGGAAUACCGAUGGCGAAGGCAGCCCCCUGGGAUAACACUGACGCUCAUGCACGAAAGC